rnacentral:rRNA from 1 species
CAAUAGCGUAUAUUAAAGUUGUUGCAGUUAAAAAGCUCGUAGUUGGAUUUCUGGAUCGAACGCUUCGUCCGCCGCUGUGCGGUGUGUACUGAGGUUUUGUUUCGAUUCAUCCUUGCAGGGAAGCGAGUUCGAGAUUAAUUUGUCGGCUCGGGGAACUGCAUCUUUUACUGUGAAAAAAUUAGAGUGUUUAAAGCAGGCAUUUUGCUGUGAAUACAUUAGCAUGGAAUAAUAAUAUAGGACUUUGGUUCUAUUUUGUUGGUUGGAGGCCAAGGUAAUGAUUAAUAGGGACAGUUGGGGGUAUUCAUAUUUAAUUGUCAGAGGUGAAAUUCUUGGAUUUAUGAAAGAUGAACUCAUGCGAAAGCAUUUACCAAGGAUGUUUUCAUUAA